ensembl:lncRNA
UGGAGGAGAUGUCUUGCAGAUCAUGGAGUUCAACCCUUAUUUGACGCAGAUGAAAGAGCCCGAGAAGCUGCUGAUUUGCUUCACCUGCAGUCACACAGUUAGUUGCUAGCCAAGUGUUAGUCCCUUAGAGAAUGUUCUACUCCCAAUUCUUGGACUUCUGGUGUUUAAGUUCAGGGAGAGGAGAUUGGUUACAGAGAAGCACAGAAGGAAGACAACAUGAAGACACAGAAUGGAGGCUCUCUCUAUGCCACACAGAGGAGUCUCAGAAGAAGCCAAUCUUGCUGGCACCUUGAUCUCAGGCUUCCAGCCUCCAGAAUUGUGAGAAAAUAAAGUUCUGUUGUUUGUCACCCCACCUGUGGUAGGUUGUUAUGGCAGCCUGAGGAAAUUAAUACAGGUGUCCUAAAGGAAAGGUCCAUGCUCUCGUAGCUACUUGGCAACCCCCUGGGUGAGUAAGAUGCAGCUGUGAUGCAGGAACGCAUUGUCUGCAAGUCCUCAGCUGCUGAGGGAAGGCUGGGCCCUGUGCUUGGCUGCAGCGUGUGACCUCUGACACGGAAGCACUUUUCCAGCCCUUGGCUGACCCAGGAACGCAUUGUCUGCAAGUCCUCAGCUGCUGAGGGAAGGCUGGGCCCUGUGCUUGGCUGUGCGUAUGACCCUGACACGGAAGCACUUUUCCAGCCCUUGGCUGACCCAGGAACGCAUCUGCAAGUCCUCAGCUGCUGAGGGAAGGCUGGGCCCUAUGCUUGGCUGCAGCGUGUGGCCUCUGACAUGGAAGCACUUUUCCAGCCCUGGAUGACUCUUGGAGUGAGUAUUAUCAUAGACCAUGUCCGUACAAUUUACGUUCCCCAAUGAAUUAACUUUCAUUUAUAAGACUCAGAAGAAAUUCACUGAGGUCGGCUGAAUGAAAACUCAACAUCAGUAGCAUUUUGUAAUUGAUGACGAUGAUGACGAUGAAUGAAUUUGUGUAUGAUGACUAUCAAUAUCUGUUACUUUUUGUUUGUUUUUUGGAUUUUUUUUUUUUUUUUUGCAUGUCUUAACUCCCUACCUUGGUUUUAGCCUCAUUGUGGACAAGGAGUACAAUAACAUACUCAAUUUUGUAUCCUUUGCUGUUAAUUAAAAAAAAAUCCUCGUUCGAUGAGAAGAAAAAUUAUCAGCAAUUAUGCUAACAAGCAGCUCCCCUGGUCUUGUUAUGAGCACAAGGUCAUUUAAUUGGGGCCCCUUGGAGACGCUCCGUCAGACUCCCCGUUGACAUACUGCCAUCUGGUGGAGCUGGGCCGGCGGAUCAGCUUUCACAGUCCGAUGUUGCCUGUGUCUCGACAUAUGUUUGUUCCCGGUUCCUGCUGAUUUUCCUGACAGCUGUCCAAAUCCAGGGGCGAGCACCACACAGGCCCAGGCCUUGGCAAAAUACUGAAGGAGGCAAACAUUUGCUUCGGUAUUCUGCUGCUUUCCCUAUCAGUGAUACUCACAGCCUGGUGUGCUUCCUCCUCUGGAUGAAAUCUUGAAUUCUAUUGCACAAAUUAACAUCUCUUUCCCUGCCCCAAAUUUCUUUGAUUUGCAUAGACCUCACAGUUUAUACAUUGCUUCUGAAACUCCUCUCCCAUUUGAUUCUCAAACAACUUUUUGAGUGUGCUGGACUAGAAUAUUAACUUCCUUCAACACAAAUUUAUUGAAUAUUGAUUGUACUCAGACUGAGAACUAGGGUUACAAAGACAGACCAGGGCCAACUUAAUUCAUAGUUACAGAAGGCCCAGUACCUGGAGGCCACAAUAUUUUUAGAACCCAU